rnacentral:rRNA from 1 species
GACGAACGCUGGCGGCGUGCUUAACACAUGCAAGUCGAACGGAAAGGCCCUGCUUUUGUGGGGUGCUCGAGUGGCGAACGGGUGAGUAACACGUGAGUAACCUGCCCUUGACUUUGGGAUAACUUCAGGAAACUGGGGCUAAUACCGGAUAGGAGCUCCUGCUGCAUGGUGGGGGUUGGAAAGUUUCGGCGGUUGGGGAUGGACUCGCGGCUUAUCAGCUUGUUGGUGGGGUAGUGGCUUACCAAGGCUUUGACGGGUAGCCGGCCUGAGAGGGUGACCGGCCACAUUGGGACUGAGAUACGGCCCAGACUCCUACGGGAGGCAGCAGUGGGGAAUAUUGCACAAUGGGCGGAAGCCUGAUGCAGCAACGCCGCGUGCGGGAUGACGGCCUUCGGGUUGUAAACCGCUUUCGCCUGUGACGAAGCGUGAGUGACGGUAAUGGGUAAAGAAGCACCGGCUAACUACGUGCCAGCAGCCGCGGUGAUACGUAGGGUGCGAGCGUUGUCCGGAUUUAUUGGGCGUAAAGGGCUCGUAGGUGGUUGAUCGCGUCGGAAGUGUAAUCUUGGGGCUUAACCCUGAGCGUGCUUUCGAUACGGGUUGACUUGAGGAAGGUAGGGGAAAAUGGAAUUCCUGGUGGAGCGGUGGAAUGCGCAGAUAUCAGGAGGAACACCAGUGGCGAAGGCGGUCCUCUGGGCCUUUCCUGACGCUGAGGAGCGAAAGCGUGGGGAGCGAACAGGCCUAGAUACCCUGGUAGUCCACGCUGUAAACGGUGGGUACUAGGUGUGGGGUCCAUUCCACGGGUUCCGUGCCGUAGCUAACGCUUUAAGUACCCCGCCUGGGGAGUACGGCCGCAAGGCUAAAACUCAAAGGAAUUGACGGGGCCCCGCACAAGCGGCGGAGCAUGCGGAUUAAUUCGAUGCAACGCGUAGAACCUUACCUGGGUUUGACAUGGAUCGGGAGUGCUCAGAGAUGGGUGUGCCUCUUUUGGGGUCGGUUCACAGGUGGUGCAUGGCUGUCGUCAGCUCGUGUCGUGAGAUGUUGGGUUAAGUCCCGCAACGAGCGCAACCCUUGUUCACUGUUGCCAGCACGUUAUGGUGGGGACUCAGUGGAGACCGCCGGGGUCAACUCGGAGGAAGGUGGGGAUGACGUCAAGUCAUCAUGCCCCUUAUGUCCAGGGCUUCACGCAUGCUACAAUGGCUGGUACAGAGAGUGGCGAGCCUGUGAGGGUGAGCGAAUCUCGGAAAGCCGGUCUCAGUUCGGAUUGGGGUCUGCAACUCGACCUCAUGAAGUCGGAGUCGCUAGUAAUCGCAGAUCAGCAACGCUGCGGUGAAUGCGUUCCCGGG